rnacentral:lncRNA from 1 species
CUCUUCCUGUGAUUUACAAAGAAGCUCAUUGCAUUUGUUCUCUUGUCUUCCUUUGAAACCCAAAAUGAUCAGGAUUUACUUUUUUUUUUUUUUGUCUUUUUAAUUUGAUGCGUUCAGUCUCACCCUGUUUUAUCACACCACAAUAACAAAGACAGACAAGUACAUUUCAUUUCUUCUUCUACUGUUUCUGUUCACAGCAUGUUCAGUAAAUGGAAAUUGAAAUUUUAAGUCUUGGAAGUUUUGUUUGUUGAUAAGCCUAGUUUGAUGACAUUCUUGCUCUAGAAAGCAAUAAUACCAAUCCUUACUAUUGAAAAGAAAGGUUUCUUUCUUUAUCUAUGGAUACAUAUAUUUUUGCAUGUUAUGAACAUCUUUUAUCAUAUCAUUUGUUUGUCCUCUUCUAGUUUAGUGCAGUCUGAAGAUUUCAUGAUGGACUCCAUCCCACUGCUGAGUGGAGAUUUCUUCUCCUCAGACAGAAGACAUAAAUUUGACACCAACCAAGAGAAAAUUAGAGACUCCCUUGAGAAACGCAUGGAAACGUGGAGCUGGUAUUGCUUGGAAAGGAAACAUGGGUAGCAUGGAAAAUAUUUUACAACAACGUUUUACAGCUCUGUAUUGCUCUGAAGGCAGCCGACGUUUUUCCUAGUUAAAAAAAAAAAAAAAGCAAGCAGAUUGAAGGGGCAUUGAGGUCAACCUGGAUAUGUGAACACCAGGGCCACAGCACUCAGCACAGCUCAGCUGGGUGAAAGGCUCUGCCACGCGUUGCCCGAGGACAUCCCUGCUUGCAGCAGCUCCCCUUCCUGCUCAUGCCCCUCUGAAAUCAGACAUAUGGCAUUAAUGGAGCCAAAGCAUGGAUAGCUUCCACUCAGCACACACUGCUUUCCCCUGGGAGCAGUCCUCAGUUCCUCCUUUCUCUUUUAAUCUGCCGGCUUUGUGUUUGCCCCGAGAUGUGCGCUGGGGCAGCCCUGCACGGCAAAACCUGUUUCUGUGGGUGUUGAGGAGCAAGCGAGAGCACAGGAGUGCAGAGAACUUGAUUUGCAGUGAAACCACUUGGUAGAGCAACCCAGCACGAUUUGAAUGCGGCUGACGUGCAAAUCAUUAUAAGCUGUGACAGAGAAUGGUUUGUUUUUUUUUUUUGCAUAUCACAAACCCACAAAUCCGUCGCAUCUAUGCAGAUCCACAUACUGCUUCUCCGAGGCAGGCUGAUGGGGCCAGACAGUCCUGUGAGCUGAGGUGAUGCUCUGUGGGCAGGGGGGACCACCCCAGAGCUGCCUGGGGGUGUCUAGUGCCCUGUGCCGAGCUGUGUAGGUGACAAAACUCCAUCUGCAGACGACAUCCAUUUGCGCCAGCAGCGUUCCGCAAAUGUGGGCGGGUGGCAAAUGUAGGGAGGGCAGUUCUGGGGGAACUUCGGUUUUGUGCACAUCAGCCCCAAAUGUUGCAAAAUCCCAAGUAACUGAAGCUACCGCAGAGCGGGAGAGGAGUGACAGGAAAUCCUCCUCUUGAGGAAAUGAAUUUGUUUGGUGUGGG